AAAAAGCUUGAGAAAGAAUGUAAAACGUUUGUGGCACUAGUACAGACCCCUUGAAAAACGCAACAGGUGAAGUGGGAAACCAAGCAACAAGUGUGAAUUGAAUUUUUGCAAUCUAUGUGACGUAUUAACGAACAGAUUAGUGCCGCCGAGAAGCAGCUGUUGGCGACAAGGAGGACAACCUUGAGGGGCCGAACCCAGGAUCCGGAACCGGCGGCUCUAUGCAAGAUUUGAACACAUGGGCUGUGUAUAUGACCCAGAAUGCAUUACGGCUGCCCCCCCCCUGCCCCCCAGUUGAAACCGGCCUGCUACUGGAUGCACAGCGAGGGACGUUAAA